CGAUUCCCUACGGGGUGCAGCAGGCGCGCAAACUUUACAAUGCGAGCAAUCGUGAUAAGGAAACCCUGAGUACCUGUCGAUGCAGGCUGUUCAUAUAUCUAAAUCAUAUGUGAAGAAAGGGCAGGGCAAGACCGGUGCCAGCCGCCGCGGUAAUACCGGCUGCUCGAGUGAUGGCCACUAUUACUGGGUUUAAAGCGUCCGUAGCUUGACUGUUAGGUCUCUUGGGAAAUCUUCACGCUCAACGUGAAGGCGUCUAAGAGAUACCGGCAGUCUUGGAACUGGGAGAGGUAAACCGUACUUCGGGGGUAGGAGUGAAAUCUUGUAAUCCUCGAGGGACGACCUAUGGCGAAGGCAGUUUACCAGAACAGCUUCGACAGUGAGGGACGAAAGCUGGGGGAGCAAACGGGAUUAGAUACCCCGGUAGUCCCAGCCGUAAACAAUGUGCGUUAGGUGUGUCGGUAUCCACGUGUUACUGAUGCGCCGAAGAGAAAUCGUGAAACGCACCACCUGGGAAGUACGGUCGCAAGGCUGAAACUUAAAGGAAUUGGCGGGGGAGCACCACAACAGGUGGAGCCUGCGGUUUAAUUGGAUUCAACGCCGGACAUCUCACCGGAUAAGACAGCUGAAUGAUUGUCAAUCUGAAGGUUUUACAUGACUAGCUGAGAAGAA
rnacentral:rRNA from 1 species